AAGUCGUAACAAGGUUUCCGUAGGUGAACCUGCGGAAGGAUCAUUACUUUCAGUACUUUGGGGGCUGUCAGUCUAUAUCACUAUAGCGAGCCUCUGUCUGAAACCCUUGUCUUUUGCGUACCUUAUGUUUCCUCGGCGGGCUUGCCCGCCGGUUGGACAACCUUAAAACCUUUUUAAUUUUCAAUCAGCGUCUGAAAAAACAUAAUAAUUACAACUUUCAACAACGGAUCUCUUGGUUCUG
rnacentral:misc_RNA from 1 species